GGCCAAUAUGCCCUUAUGAGCUCCGUCCAGAGUCUGGCGGGGUGACACGUUGGUGCUGUCGAGGUUGCUGUGGUAACGAACCUCCGGCCGUUCCUGGAAGAUGCUUCCAGCUAUGCCCUGAAGAGGAGCUUGGAGGCAUUAGGGUUGGACACAGACCCAGCAGGUUCUGCACCAGGUCUGCCAAUUCAGAAAGCAGCAGCACCCUGGGUGGCUCCUCAGCUUCAUCAUUAGCAGCCUGGGCGAUGUGAGCAGCCCCACGACUGAGAUCAGGGAAGCAGCCGCCA